rnacentral:rRNA from 1 species
CCUACGGGCGGCUGCAGUGGGGAAUAUUGGACAAUGGGCGAAAGCCUGAUCCAGCAAUUCUGCGUGAGUGAGGAAGGACUUCGGUCUGUAAAGCUCUGUUAAUGUGGAAAAAUGGUAGUUGGUCUAAUAGGCCGAUUAUUUGAUGGUACACAUAGAGGAAGCACCGGCUAACUUCGUGCCAGCAGCCGCGGUAAUACGAAGGGUGCAAGCGUUGUUCGGAUUUAUUGGGCGUAAAGCGCGCGUAGGCGGACCUGUAAGUCAGAUGUGAAAUCUCGGUGCUCAACACCGAAACUGCGUCUGAAACUGCGGGUCUAGAAUCUUGGAGGGGGAGUGGGAAUUUCGCAUGUAGGGGUAAAAUCCGUAGAGAUGCGAAGGAACACCAGAGGCGAAGGCGCACUCCUGGACAAGUAUUGACGCUGAGGCGCGAAAGCGUGGGGAUCAAACAGGAUUAGAUACCCGUGUAGUC